ensembl:lncRNA
GGCUGCGGGAACGUGGUUUCCUACAGACCCUGGAACAGUAUCUCUACCAGUUCAAAAUCCUCCAGACCAAGUACCGCAAAGUCAGGAGCACCCACACCCCAGGCACCUGCCCCUUCGGUGAUGAGGUGGAUGCCCUGAUGAGUCCCUGGACCUUUGCCAUCACCUGACAUCUUGGAGGUGGCAGGAGGCAUUCUGUGGAUUAGAGGAGUCUCCAGAGAGAACCAGAAAGCAGGGACAGGGAUGGUAGUGAAAUGAUGGAACCCCAAGGGGAGCCCAGGAGUCUUGGCCCCCAGGCUUGGAGGAGAAUCCCAGUGACCUUCUGGGACCUUCCUUUCUCAUCCCACCUGCCACGUGCAGAUAUGAGGACAGAAGGCGCAUUACCUAAGGACCCCAUGUCUCUCCUCGCUCGUCCUUGAGCAGGACUCCCAGUUCCCCUGCCAGAUGGGCUUUCGAGUCUGGGGAGAAGCAAAGAACUCUGGAAUGACAGUCUCCAGGAUCCCGAGGAGAUUUGGAAGACUUCCUGUGCAGAUCUUGAAGCAAGGACAGAAUGAGGAGAAUUCAAGCCAGGACAUUUCGGAGGAAGCAGAGCUACCCGGAGUGUUGUUAGGAAGAUCCAAAAUGGACCUUUCCCAAUACCUUUGCUGGAGGAAAGAUGGGGGAAGUGAAUAUGGGGCAGAGACGCAAUGGGAAAUGGCCUUAGACAAUGGACAAGAGUCCCUCUCUCCUGUCCUCAGGGAACCCAUGUUGGCGAAAAACCCAGUAUCUGCUGUGCCUGUGGGAAACGUUUCAGCCUGAGUUCCCACUUAGCUGUCCUCAGAUUAGCCCACCUCCAUACUGGGGAGACGCGCUGUAAGUGUGGGGAGCGCUGGAGAAGCUUCAGCCAGAGCUCCAGCCUUAUUACGCAUCAGAGAAUCCACACGGGAGAGAAACCCCCUAAGUGUGGUGAGUGUGGAGAGCGUUUCACCAGCAGCUCGCACUUCGGGGCACACUGGUGAACGCACACUGGCAAACACCCCGCCGGUGCCCUGACUGUGGGAAAAGGUUCAGUAAGAGUUCCACCCUCAGAGCACUGUAAACCAGCUAUAAUGGAAAAAAUAAAAGUCAUCAGGAAAAAAAAAUAAGAGUUCCACCCUCCCCGGCCAUCACGAGAGAAACCCUGUGGAUGUCUGGAGCGUGGGCAAGUUUCAGUGACUGCUCACACCUCGUACCCAGGGGCAAAUCCCCAAGGGAGAGCCCCUGCAGGUGCGGGGAGUGUGGGAAAGGCCUUGGUCAGAGCUCAGGUCUUAUUCUUCACCAGAGAAGCCACGUGGGGAGAAACCCUGGGACUGUGCGGCAUGCGGGAGGCAACUCAACAACUGCUCACGUUUUAGUGCACGUCGGAGAACACGCGUGUCUUUCAAGCAUCAGGUCUGAAAACACUGGAAUCCUCCUCCAAAGGGGUUUGUGUUCCGUACCAUGACCCCCACAGGAGAUGGAGAGAGAAUUCAGGUCUCUGCCCAACAGGCUGAAUUUAUUUCUCAUAAAUACACAUUCGGAUUGUGAAAUACUCCUCGGGGCUUUCUAGGCCAGGCCGUUAAAAUGGAAGCUAAUUUCCAGGGGAUUCAGAGAUGACGAUUUCUGUUUUUCGUCUUUUUAGCGCCACACCCCGGGCAUAUGGAGGUUCCCAGGCUAAGGGCGGAAUUGGAGCUGUAGCCACUGGCCUACACCACAGCCACAGAAACUCAGGAUCUGAGCAGCGUCUGCACCCUACACCACAGCUCACGGCAAUGCUGGAUCCUCAACCCACUGAGUGAGGCCAGGGAUCGAACCUGCAUCCUUGUGGAUCCUAGUCGGGUUCUUAAUCCGCUGAGCCACAAUGGGAACUCCCCAGAGACUACUUCUGAAUUUGACUGUGUCACCAUGUCAGUGUGUCUUCGCUGUGAUUCUGUGCCUUAAUUUUCAUGGCUUGGCAAGCUCUGCCCUCCUGUGCUCCUGUGCUGACAGCAUUAAUGGUGGUCAGGUCGGCUGUAGAACCAGCAGCUGCUGAGCUGUGUCCUCUGUGCAGCUAGAUGAGGAUUAUUUAUUCACUAUAUACAUCUUUAAAGGUCUUUCCCUGUUCUCCGUAUGGGAGGAUCGGAGCCCAGAAAUGGUCUGCAUUUCCUCACAUGGCCUUUCUUAAGACUUAUGCAGCCUUACCUGAGAGGAAAGCAUUCUACUGUGUUAUUUGGAGGAGAGAAAAAGAGGGGAGAUCAAUAUUAGCAAUUGACUUUCUAAGCCAUAACCUUCUCUUCCUCUCAGCAUGUUAGACUGAACCGUGUGAGAUGCCAUUUUUUGGUCUGUAAAACUAGCAAGCUCAGGAGUCCCCACUGUGGCACAGUAGAUUAAUGAUCUGGCUUGUCUCUCUUCAACUCCUGGCCGGGCUCCGUAGGUUAAGGAUCCAGCGUUGCAGCAGCUGUGGUGUCACAGUUCCAGCUCGGAUUCAACCCCUGGCCCUGGAACUUCCACCUGCUAAGGGUGUGGCAGCAAAAGAAACAAACAAAUUAGCAAUCUCAUGAUUCAACCGAAGGUGAAUUUUUGCACAACUGAAUUUCUCUAGAUUGCCAACCCCGACUUUGCAGGAUUUCUACCGUAUCCUAAAAAUGUGAGAGCAGGUCUAGAGGUCAUGAACCAAGAUGGUGAAGUGGGUAAAGUCUUCUCUGUUUGUAACUGUGUCCAGCUCAGUUACUGAGAACCAUGGCAUUGUCAAGAAGACUCCAGGGUGGAGGGCUUACCUCUCCCUAUAUGACCUGCCUCUGACAAGUGUGCUGGUUCCCGUCUGUGCUCAGAUGUCCUCAUGGGUGAGGCCAUGAGCAGCAUCUCUGCAGAAGCAGAGUCCUUGAAGGAGCUCUGACAUACAGAGCAAAUGGUGCUGGGAAAUAAAUGGAACACAGUCUCUUCCUCUUGAAAUGAUGUCAUCUGUGUGAUUGAUUUAAAGUAUUUCACCAAAAAAAUAAAACAAAACAAAACUGGAGUUCCCAUCAUGGCACAGCUGAAACGAAUCCAACUAGGAACAAUGAGGUUGUGGGUUCGAUCCCUGGCCUCACUCAGUGGGUUAAGGAUCCAGUGUUGCCGUGAGCUGUGGUGUAGGUCGAAGACACAUCUCGGAUCUGGCAUUGCUAUGGUUGUGGUGUAGGCUGGCGGCUACAGCUCCAAUUGGACCCCUAGCCUAGGACCUUCCAUAUACCACAAGUGUGGCCAUAAAAAGACAAAAAUAAAGUAUUUCCCACAAUUUUCCAGAAACCCAUCAAUUAUAAAACAAAGCACUGUCUGCACAUAGUACAGUUUUAUCUAAGUAGAUAUAUAAAAUAUGAAGUAGUGAGUUUAAAAAAAAAAAAAACAACAUAAAAGAGGAGUUCCCGUGGUGGCUCAGUGGUUAACGAAUCUGACUAGAACCAUGAGGUUGCGGGUUCAGUCCCUGGCCUUGCUCAGUGGUUAAGGAUCUGGCAUUGUGGUAUAGGUUGCAGAUGUGGCUCAGAUCCCGCAUUGCCAUGGCUCUGGCUUAGGCUGGCGGCUCCAGCUCCGAUUUGACC